CAGAGACCGACCAAGAAACCUAUUUCCCUGUAACUGUUUUGGGCUAGAGCCUCGUGUCUGUCCGGUCAAAACUUUACCCCUGUGGCAUUCCAGUUAUACCAAACAGAUCAAAGUGAUCUUUGGAUAUGUUAUACACUCAAAUUGGGGCUAUCUGGGGGUAUAACUUUUGUGGGGUUCAUAGUUAUGUUGGGGGUACUUUUGGGGUACUCUUUGUUUUGUAUAUAUUUUUU